UAGAAGCCCAAGAGGCGAAGCUCUGUUUUGUUAUGGGUAACAGUCAGUAGAUGGCGCUGCGGAGCCACGGCCGCCAUUAGGGACUGAAAGCACAACUGUGAAGAUGUGCAAAGUGGUCGAAACGCAAGCAGUGUUCUGCAAUAAAUUGCAAAAAUUAUCAGUCCACCAGAAGCGAUUUGGCAUUUCAUCGGUUUCCAAAGGAUGCACAAAGGUGGGUCCAGAAUCUAAGGAAUGCAUCCCUUCAUGGCAUACCUUUGGAUCAGCUGCAUCGGACCUACAGGGUGUGCAGUGCCCAUUUCCACAGCAGCCAGUUCAAAAGACCAUCUGAUGUCCAUGGUGGGCUGAACUGGGAUGCUGUGCCCACAAGAAUACAGGCCCCUAACCCACCUCCCCCACUAGAUGUCGAGAGGAAGCGUAAACCUCCGAAGACACGCCAGGAGUUGCCACGUAAAAAACGCAAGCAGAGUCAAGUUCCUCCUCCCUCCAAAGACCAGCAUACCGGGGAAGCUGUAGCGGGGCCUUCAUCACGGGCGCACUACACUGAGGAAGCUGUAGCGGGGCCUUCAUCACGGGCGCACUACACUGAGGAAGCUGUAGCGGGGCCUUCAUCAAUCAGUUAUUGUUCAUUUUUAGAAAUCUAUACAAAACUUGAACUGGCUAGUAGCUGACUAAUGCUUCCAUUCUAUGGCAGUGCCUCUUCUCUCACAAAAAGAAAAAAAUACAACAAAACUUAAAUGCUCACACAAUAGAUGGUGGUGUCUGAUUAAUUACUGAGAUCUUAUGGCUCCAUUUUAGUACUGUUUAUAGUUCAUGUGUGCACUUGCUAGAUUGCACAUCUUUUUUGUACCUUUCCGCCUGUAAUAGGACAUUCACAGAUUGUUUUUGUUCUUGCCAUUGAAACGUUCACUGUGUGCACUUUCACUGAAGAUGUUGAAAAACUUGUUAAUAUUUUUGUGAUCUUCUAUGUAAAAGAUUAACUCUUGUGAAAUGUUCAUUUAUAAUUUUAUUUAUUUAUUUUUCCAAAUCAUAUAUAUGGUGAUGUUCAAUCAUUUCAAAAUCAACAUUUGAAUAAAUAUGUUAUUACUGUGUGUCUGCCUAUAUAUUAUUUCAUGAAUUUCUGUUAUUCAUAUAACAAGGAAAAUGCAUAAUAGAACAUAAAUAUUGGUAGAUUAAAGGUUUACAGUAAUUUUAUAAUUGUAUCUUUGCAAACCGUAAGUGGUAGGCUAAUG